UACGUAGGGGGCAAGCGUUGUCCGGAUUUAUUGGGCGUAAAGAGCGUGUAGGCGGCCAGGUAGGUCUGCUGUGAAAACUCGAGGCUUAACCUCGAGCUGUCGGCGGAAACCAUCUGGCUAGAGGCCGGAAGAGGAGAAUGGAAUUCCCGGUGUAGCGGUGAAAUGCGCAGAUAUCGGGAAGAACACCCGUGGCGAAGGCGGUGCGCUGGGACGGUACUGACGCUGAGACGCGAAAGCGUGGGGAGCGAACAGG
rnacentral:rRNA from 1 species